UAGGGAAUCUUCCACAAUGGGCGAAAGCCUGAUGGAGCAACGCCGCGUGGUGAAGAAGGUUUUCGGAUCGUAAAACUCUGUUGUAAGGGAAGAACAAGUACAGUAGUAACUGGCUGUACCUUGACGGUACCUUAUUAGAAAGCCACGGCUAACUACGUGCCAGCAGCCGCGGUAAUACGUAGGUGGCAAGCGUUGUCCGGAAUUAUUGGGCGUAAAGCGCGCGCAGGUGGUCCUUUAAGUCUGAUGUGAAAGCCCACGGCUCAACCGUGGAGGGUCAUUGGAAACUGGGGGACUUGAGUGCAGAAGAGGAAAGUGGAAUUCCAAGUGUAGCGGUGAAAUGCGUAGAGAUUUGGAGGAACACCAGUGGCGAAGGCGACUUUCUGGUCCGUAACUGACACUGAGGCGCGAAAGCGUGGGGAGCAAACAGGAUUAGAUACCCUGGUAGUCCACGCCGUAAACGAUGAGUGCUAAGUGUUAGGGGGUUUCCCGCCCCUUAGUGCUGCAGCUAACGCAUUAAGCACUCCGCCUGGGGAGUACGGUCGCAAGACUGAAACUUGAAAUGAAUUGAC
rnacentral:rRNA from 1 species